rnacentral:rRNA from 1 species
GGGUUGUGAGGUUAAGCGACUAAGCGUACACGGUGGAUGCCCUGGCAGUCAGAGGCGAUGAAGGGCGUGCUAAUCUGCGAUAAGCGCCGGUAAGGUGAUAUGAACCGUUAUAACCGGCGAUACCCGAAUGGGGAAACCCAGUGUGACUCGUCACACUAUCAUUAACUGAAUCCAUAGGUUAAUGAGGCGAACCGGGGGAACUGAAACAUCUAAGUACCCCGAGGAAAAGAAAUCAACCGAGAUUCCCCCAGUAGCGGCGAGCGAACGGGGAGGAGCCCAGAGCCUGAAUCAGCAUGUGUGUUAGUGGAAGCGUCUGGAAAGGCGCGCGAUACAGGGUGACAGCCCCGUACACAAAAGCGCAUGUGCUGUGAGCUCGAUGAGUAGGGCGGGACACGUGGUAUCCUGUCUGAAUAUGGGGGGACCAUCCUCCAAGGCUAAAUACUCCUGACUGACCGAUAGUGAACCAGUACCGUGAGGGAAAGGCGAAAAGAACCCCGGCGAGGGGAGUGAAAAAGAACCUGAAACCGUGUACGUACAAGCAGUGGGAGCCCCACCACCAAAGCAUUCUCUGGUGUUGAAGGCCCUGCAAAGCAGCAUCGCGGUGGCGGAGCGUCGUUUGCGACGCCCAACACACAAAACAAGCGGUGAGUGCUUUGGGGUGGGGUGACUGCGUACCUUUUGUAUAAUGGGUCAGCGACUUAUAUUCUGUAGCAAGGUUAACCGUAUAGGGGAGCCGUAGGGAAACCGAGUCUUAACCGGGCGUUAAGUUGCAGGGUAUAGACCCGAAACCCGGUGAUCUAGCCAUGGGCAGGUUGAAGGUUGGGUAACACUAACUGGAGGACCGAACCGACUAAUGUUGAAAAAUUAGCGGAUGACCUGUGGCUGGGGGUGAAAGGCCAAUCAAACCGGGAGAUAGCUGGUUCUCCCCGAAAGCUAUUUAGGUAGCGCCUCGUGAACUCAUCUCCGGGGGUAGAGCACUGUUUCGGCUAGGGGGCCAUCCCGGCUUACCAACCCGAUGCAAACUGCGAAUACCGGAGAAUGUUAUCACGGGAGACACACGGCGGGUGCUAACGUCCGUCGUGAAGAGGGAAACAACCCAGACCGCCAGCUAAGGUCCCAAAGUCAUGGUUAAGUGGGAAACGAUGUGGGAAGGCCCAGACAGCCAGGAUGUUGGCUUAGAAGCAGCCAUCAUUUAAAGAAAGCGUAAUAGCUCACUGGUCGAGUCGGCCUGCGCGGAAGAUGUAACGGGGCUAAACCAUGCACCGAAGCUGCGGCAGCGACGCUGAUGCGUUGUUGGGUAGGGGAGCGUUCUGUAAGCCUGUGAAGGUGGCCUGUGAGGGUUGCUGGAGGUAUCAGAAGUGCGAAUGCUGACAUAAGUAACGAUAAAGCGGGUGAAAAGCCCGCUCGCCGGAAGACCAAGGGUUCCUGUCCAACGUUAAUCGGGGCAGGGUGAGUCGACCCCUAAGGCGAGGCCGAAAGGCGUAGUCGAUGGGAAACGGGUUAAUAUUCCCGUACUUGGUGUUACUGCGAAGGGGGGACGGAGAAGGCUAUGUUGGCCGGGCGACGGUUGUCCCGGUUUAAGCGUGUAGGUGUGUGUUCCAGGUAAAUCCGGUUCACUUUAACACUGAGGCGUGAUGACGAGGCACUACGGUGCUGAAGCAACAAAUGCCCUGCUUCCAGGAAAAGCCUCUAAGCAUCAGGUAACAUCAAAUCGUACCCCAAACCGACACAGGUGGUCAGGUAGAGAAUACCAAGGCGCUUGAGAGAACUCGGGUGAAGGAACUAGGCAAAAUGGUGCCGUAACUUCGGGAGAAGGCACGCUGACACGUAGGUGAAGUGAUUUACUCACGGAGCUGAAGUCAGUCGAAGAUACCAGCUGGCUGCAACUGUUUAUUAAAAACACAGCACUGUGCAAACACGAAAGUGGACGUAUACGGUGUGACGCCUGCCCGGUGCCGGAAGGUUAAUUGAUGGGGUCAGCGCAAGCGAAGCUCCUGAUCGAAGCCCCGGUAAACGGCGGCCGUAACUAUAACGGUCCUAAGGUAGCGAAAUUCCUUGUCGGGUAAGUUCCGACCUGCACGAAUGGCGUAAUGAUGGCCAGGCUGUCUCCACCCGAGACUCAGUGAAAUUGAACUCGCUGUGAAGAUGCAGUGUACCCGCGGCAAGACGGAAAGACCCCGUGAACCUUUACUAUAGCUUGACACUGAACAUUGAGCCUUGAUGUGUAGGAUAGGUGGGAGGCUUUGAAGUGUGGACGCCAGUCUGCAUGGAGCCGACCUUGAAAUACCACCCUUUAAUGUUUGAUGUUCUAACGUGGACCCGUGAUCCGGGUUGCGGACAGUGUCUGGUGGGUAGUUUGACUGGGGCGGUCUCCUCCUAAAGAGUAACGGAGGAGCACGAAGGUUGGCUAAUCCUGGUCGGACAUCAGGAGGUUAGUGCAAUGGCAUAAGCCAGCUUGACUGCGAGCGUGACGGCGCGAGCAGGUGCGAAAGCAGGUCAUAGUGAUCCGGUGGUUCUGAAUGGAAGGGCCAUCGCUCAACGGAUAAAAGGUACUCCGGGGAUAACAGGCUGAUACCGCCCAAGAGUUCAUAUCGACGGCGGUGUUUGGCACCUCGAUGUCGGCUCAUCACAUCCUGGGGCUGAAGUAGGUCCCAAGGGUAUGGCUGUUCGCCAUUUAAAGUGGUACGCGAGCUGGGUUUAGAACGUCGUGAGACAGUUCGGUCCCUAUCUGCCGUGGGCGCUGGAGAACUGAGGGGGGCUGCUCCUAGUACGAGAGGACCGGAGUGGACGCAUCACUGGUGUUCGGGUUGUCAUGCCAAUGGCACUGCCCGGUAGCUAAAUGCGGAAGAGAUAAGUGCUGAAAGCAUCUAAGCACGAAACUUGCCCCGAGAUGAGUUCUCCCUGAGACUUAGAGUCUCCUGAAGGAACGUUGAAGACGACGACGUUGAUAGGCCGGGUGUGUAAGCGCAGCGAUGCGUUGAGCUAACCGGUACUAAUGAACCGUGAGGCUUAACCUUACAACGCCGAAG